AUCUUUUUGAAAGACUCUUCGCCAGUAUCAAAAUGUGCAACGAAGCUGUAACCGCCUUCUGCUCACUGUUUGCAUGGUUUCUAUCAGGUGCUGCUGCAUUCAGCUGCUUCUUCAUUGAAGGCGAAUAUGAUGGCCCAUUUGGCACCAGUAGCAUUGGUUUUGGAUUUCUCGGCAUCA
rnacentral:ribozyme from 1 species